rnacentral:lncRNA from 1 species
UUUGUGGAGAGAGAGAGAAAAAAGGAAGAUAUAGUUCAUGCUUCUGGAGAGAUCCGGUCUGAUGGAUGAACCAACCAACACAUGAAAAGAACAUUAAGGGUUUGUAAAGUGACAAACAUUCUUGUUUGCUUGUUGAAUCUGGGGCCAGAAUCAGAAUGGUGUGGGAUGGGGCCCUGGCGUGGGUGAGUUUUAUAAGCUCCCCGGGUGUUCCUCAUGUGCCACCAGUGUCCCAGGGCACUGUUCACAAAUGCGGAUGGUUCUGUUUCCCAGAAGACAUUGGUUGUGUCUGGAGAUACUUUUGGUUGGCAUUCCUGGGGUUACUGGCAUUUGUGGGUAGAGGCCAGGGAUGCCACUACACAUCUUCCAAUAUACAGGAUAGACCUCCUCAAAGAGAAUGAUCUGGUCCCAAAUGUCAAGUUAAGACAAUGUUAAGAAACCUUGCUCUUGUGACCGCACCAGACCUUCUGGAGAUUUGUGUUGAGCAGAAGUCUGAGAGCAGGAAGGACCAGCGGUCGGGUGGAAAGGAGCCAGGUGGGAGCAUCGUGCAGGGAGAUAGUACAUGGCGGGGUUUGGAGGUAGGAGAAUGUGAUUUGGUUUUUGCAAAGGGAGAAAGGCUUGUGGUUGCAUGAAAGUCAUCUGAGACGUAGAAGGAGGUUUUCAGCCAUGUGUCCCCUGGAGUUGGGCUUGCAUCGGGUCGGAGGGACUUUUGGUUGGGACAUCAAGCCCUUCUGACUGUUGGCUGUGUAUGUCAGUGACUCUUAGGCCUCUGUCCGCUCUGUGUGAGUGAGGGAGCCCCUGUCAGGUACCGUCCAGUCCCACUCUGGGGCUGGCUUUCCCUGAGCUCAUGCAUAUGGGAAAGCUGCCCGCCAUCCCUCUGGCACCAGGAACAGGCAGUGCCGUUUGCCUUAGUUAAUGGCUUCGUGCGUGGCCCCUUCUUUCGUGUCCUCCCUGCUUUUUAGGGAAGGUGAGGAGAGGCCCAAGUCUGCUGAGUGCAUGCUGUCUGUCCACUUCCUAAUGGUCCUGGCUCAUGGCCGUUGGUCUGUCAUGUUUUUGAAUAAACGAAUGAAUCCUUGAAUGAAUGGCAGAUCGGGGCCUUCCGCAGUGAAUUGCCCCUUUUAUAAGUACAUAGUCCUUCAGUCCUUGUGCCAUAAGUUGUAAUAGGAGAGGCUGAGAUUGGCAAUAAGGAGGAAGGUCUCUAUUGUCAAGAAUUUCCAGGGAGUAGAACGCGUAACCGGAGGGUCACCUGAGGGAAGUGGGGGCCGUUCCUCUUUGGAGAAGAGCUGGCCUUUUCUGGCUGCAGGAUUGGCCACCGAGGGGCCAUUUUUGCCCUCCCAGGGUGACCCACAUUACGUUCCCUCCUCUGAGGCUUCCAGCUUUUAAUUAGAUUUCUUAGCUCUUAGAGUAGACGUGAAUAUCCUUUUAUAAGGAGUAAAAAGUGCUGUCCGAACACGCGCGUGUAGUAAUUCUCCUGGGGCAUCACUGCUGGACAUCCACAGGCUGGCACUCUGGCACGAGCGGAGCGAGGCCGUGAGCACAGUUCAGCCAAAACACCCCCUCUCCUAGGGUAUGCUUAGAGGCAGCAUUCCUCUGAAUGUCUGCUCCUGCUUCUGAGCUGGCUUUUCUCUGCCUUCAGUCAAACCCUUGGGACAGAAAGGGCUUCUGUUGGUGCAACUCGGGAGAAAAGGGCCCCUGGAUGUCCCAGGCUCAGGCUGGUGUGGUAAAGGGUGUGUUUCAAGGGCUGCCUGUGAGCUGAGCCCAAUCCUGCCUUCCUCAUAGCCAGGCCCAAGUAGUGAGCCUCUUCUUGGGCCCUUUGCUAGACUCUGGCUGGCUUUGUCAGGCGAAGUUUCUGGCACCUGCCUCAUCUGCCCUGGUGUGCUUGUGCAGUUAGAACCUUGCUGCUCAAAGUCCAGACUCCGGACUGACAGCCUCACAUCACCUGAUUAGAAACGGGGAGUCUCAGGCCCCACCUCAGACUGCCAGAGUCAGUCUGCGUUUUACCAAGAUCCCUGGUGGUUCAUGUGCACGUUCAAGUCUGAGAAGCACCAUGCUAGAAGACUUUGCAUGCUGAGUGGACAACUGAGGGGAUGGCUGGAGGCUCGCACACAUAUGCCCCCGUCUUUGCAGAGUGCUUUAGAACAGGGCUUCUUUGGGGCGCCUGGGUGGCUCAGUUGGUUAAGCGUCUGACUUCGGCUCAGGUCGUGAUCUCAUGGUUCAUGGGUUCAAGCCCCUCAUGGGGUUCUGGGCUGACAGCUCACAGCCUGGAGCCUGCUUCGGAUUGUGUGUCUCCCUCUCUCUCUGGCCCUCCCCUGCUUGCUCUCUGUCUCUGUCUCAAAAAUGAAUAAACAUAAAAAAUUUUUUUUUUAAUAGAACAGGGCUUCUUCAACCAGCUGAGGUGAAGGAUGGGUUGUUUUCAUUCAUUCAGGGAUGGGUGUGGGGUCCCAAUGAGUAUGACCAGUCUGCACAAGUCUGACAGUGUCUGAACGGCUCUGUAUGUGUUCCCUGUUCUAAGAGGCAAGUCCACCACCACCUGCUGGGUUGCUGUGGCAAUGUCAAAUUGCUAGAAACGUCUUUAAAUCUACUUUCUUUUCCUGUACUUAACUUGCCAGGGACCCAUAACUAACAGUUUGUGGAUGGUCUGUGGACUUGCUUUCAGUGGUCCUGGUCUAGAACCCUGUGCUUAGGGUCAGAUAGACCCAGGUUUGAACCUUGGCUCUCUCACUUAUUUGCUGUGUUUUCUUGGGCAACUGUUUGACCUCUCUGAGCCUUCAUUUUGUCAUCUGUAAAUCAGAGAUGAUAAUGUCCUUACCUCAUAGGAUCGGGAUGAGGAUUAAAUGAGGGAAGCACAGAGCCCAGCGCACAGAAUGCACACUUAAUGAUAUUGGCUGUCCAAUGGCACUAGUGUUAUUGUUUAAUGUCUUGGAACAUCUGAAAAUGAAGACAGUAGUGCUGGUUAAAGGAUGCCUUUGUUUCUAGAUAUAUAGUGGUCUUUAAAACUAGCAAAUUCCUUGGGGACAGAAACAUUUUUCCCCUGCUAACUUCUGGUAGUUUAGGGCUGCUGAUACUGAAUUUUCCUCUGUAUGGAUCCAAGCGAAACCCAAAAUCAGAAUUAGGACAGUGUUGGAACUUGUUUUUAAGUGAUGGAAAGAAAUAGUAAGCACUGUAGGAAAUCCCUAUCGUCCCGCAGGGCCUCGCUCUGAAAGCUUUCCCUUCCCUCUACCUGGGUGGACUUUCAGUGCCAAGUUGCCUAAUUCUAAACUGCCAGUACAUCCUUCCUUUCUGGAAAUUCAGGCUGCCCUCUUGGCUAUUUCUUCAGAGGAAAGAGGUAAAGAGAAGAUGUAGAGGACCCAAGUCAGAAGAUCUGUGUUCUAGAGUCAUCUUAGCAAGGCUAAUACCUCAUUGGAAUACAGUUCUUAGCCUCUUUUUGAGGCCCAGGCCCUUUGGAUAAUCUAAAGAGAACUUUGACACUCCCUUCCACCCUGAACAGUGAAUGCACACACAAACACCAAGACUGUAUGUUCGAUUUUGGGGGACUGGUGGGAGUCGGGUCCAUGGACCUCAUCAAACCCUCAAGGACUCUUCCACAUGGCUUGCUUCUCGUGUACCAGAAUAUCUAAGUGACCCGCAGCAUGGGACAAGGGUUAAAUGCACAGGCUUUGGAGUCAGAGUGCUGGGGUCUCAAUCAUUCUUCUGCUAGUUGCCAGCUUGUUGACCUUGGGAGAGUUACUUAUGUCUUCCAAGCCUCAGCUUUCCCAUCGAUAAAGUGGGGAUAAGAGUGCGCCUAUCUCAGUAGGGUAGUUGUGAGAUUAGAACAGGUAACAUUUGUCAAAUGUACAUAUUUGCACUAUUGUUUCCCCUACAGAAUGUCCCAUUGCCUUCUGAAGGAGUCCCACGUCGGUAGCAAGAGCCCACGUAACCCCUUUUUCACAGCAUCCAGUAUUUGGACUGAGAAAAUGAGGCUUUCCUGUGGAUGGGGCGGUGGGGGGGGGGCGGUGGCACAGACCCCUUGCCGUACCUCUUGGAAAUUUGAAGGGCUGGGGAGCUUUGGAGCAAGGCUCCUAGAAACCCGCUAACCCCAGCUGCUCCUGUUCAGUAAUUGCCAUGCGCUGUUGGUUUUGGCUGCAGGCGCGCAGAUCCCUGCCUCGGGAGCUUCCCUGAAACUAGACGCCCAACCCAGAAGGCUGGGGAGGAGUCGAAAUGAAGAAUGGAGAAGCAGACUUUUUUUUUUCUCUCCUUAAUUAACUCUGGCUCUUUUGCUCCCUGGGCUCUCUGCAGCCCCAGCAAUUAGUGGGAGUGUUAACUGGGGUCAGGGCAGUGGCAGGGCUUCAGGGAGCUCCUGGGGACAGUGCUGAGGAGGCGGCGGAGGAAGUGCCUCUCAGGCCCGGAAUGAGGGCUUCGCCUCCUGCUGCCCCGGGGCCCUCCUACCCCUUGCCGACCCCUUUCAGCUGAGCUGCCCAGACACCCAGGCUGCCCCCGUUACAUUCCCCGCUCUGGCUCAGCUGUUCUGUGAGAAUGGCGAGGAGUAAAAGGACUCCAAACAUUGGCCCCCACCGGGCCCUUAAUUACAUUAACGCACAAAGCGGCAGUGCCGGCCGGCUGCUCCGGGUGCAGCGCCUGGCCUGUCCCCGAACAAUUGCCCUUCUGUUCUCACGGCCUGUUUUCCCCCAGCUGCGCCUCCUUUCAUCUGGGCCUCUUUCCCAGGGACGCGGGCGCAUUCCCAGGAGGGUGGAAUCUCAGUCCUAACCUUCUUACUUCUUCCCUGGUUUGGUCGGUUUCGUCUCCUCCCUUGGCCUCCCUGAGCCGUCUCUUUCCCCUCUGGUUCAGGCGGUCCAUAUGAGCCCCGUCUCGCACGCUCUGGACGCCGCCCCAUCCAGUCUGGGUUUGGAGCGUGUUGCGGGGAAUGAUUGCGGUGGGGGGGUUAAUGUGCUCUUCUGUUUUUGCUUCUAGUUUGCAAGUUGUCACGAAAGGGAAGCAGAAUGCCCACUUUACAACGACACCCCACUAAUCAUAAUGAUGCCUUCCAUUUGUUUAGAAUUUGGUAGUUUUUAGAAGUGCUGUCCCAUACAUGUCUCACCGACCUGGGAAUUUUUGUGUACGGCGGCCAGGACAGGUACCCCUGACCCCUCAUGCAGGGUUGCUCAGGGACCAGGAAGCCACAGAGCCGGGCCAAGACCCAGGGUGGACUCCCAGGCCCCCCUGCCUCAUUGGCUUCAUGAGCAUGGCCCUUUUUCAGGCCUCCUCAGUGCCUCAGCAGAAAUGCUGGCCACAGAAGGAUGUCCAGGAAGGGCCCUGUUGGUGUUGGUGAGCUGGAGCUCCUUGCCAUGACCUGCAAGAGAGGGGCCCCUGAGAAGUCGCAUUUCUAAUCUCUCCACUUGACUCUGUCCCCUUCCCCCAGCUUCAAGGGCUGUCACUUCUGCUUCUUCCUCAUUUUAGUGUUGAGCCAUUCCAGAUGCUUAGGUCUUUUGAGACUCCAGAGAAGGAAAUUCUCUAGUCCUCCCCACAUUCCAGGGUCAGCCGGCCCUGGCACGCGGCACAGGCCUCCUGACCCUGAUGUGAGCUUGCCAGUAAGCGCACCCGUGGAAUCUGCUUUCUGGACCUGGGCUUGCCUGCCCAGCUCGGGGAGGCAGCAGGCCUGCGGCCCCAGCCGGAUGCCCUCUCACCACCGCCGGGCCGGCCAUCGGGCGGCUAAGCACAGGCGGCUGGGUGCCUGCUGCCCCCCCACCCCAUCCCCCGGGGAGCAUCUCUGCUUGCAGAACCAGGCCUUGCUCAGGCGGCACAGCCCCUGUAAUUAGUGUUCUUCAGGAGACAGCUGGUGCAGUUUUUUUGCUUUAAACCCCCUUCCUUCUUCACAAUUGCACACGGCUUAGGGACCUGCCAUUCUCACUCCCACCGACAUUCCCACGAGGCUCCUAAGCCCCAUAUGGUGAAGCUUGUCUCUUUUCUCUCCUUGUGGCCGGGUGGGGAGUGGCGCAGGCAGGAAUCCUUGUCCGCUGGGGGUCUCCAAAGGACACCGGGCCCCCGAGGGUGGCAGCUGGUUUCUGUUUCUCUGCCUGGGGCAGGGCACCUGACUGGGCCCUGUUUCACUUAAGCGUCUUUCACCAAAAUCUUUUAGAGCACUUUGAGGGCUAAUGGGCUUUUGUUAACAUUCCCUGGAGAAUUUCAGCCCCUUGGGAAGGGUACCCCACUGGCUUGUUGCCCAGGUGUCAGCACUGCGCCCGCUAGCCUCUGGACUGCAGCUGGGCCAGUUCUGUGUCACUGCUGAGGGUCGCCUGGGGUUUAUGCCAUCCCCGCAGAUCUGCAUCCGGACUCUCAGGCUCACUGCCUGUAGUCAGAAUGUGUUCCUCUUAUUCCUGCGCACUUUACAUGCUCACUGAAGAAGAACUGGAAAAUGCUUAAUUUCUGACACAGAACGAUCAUUCUGAUAAUUUAAGCACUGCCACUGAUAAUGUUUGGUUGUAUUUCCUUCUGCUUUUUUUUUUUUUUAAUGCACAUAGAUUUUAAAAAUAGUUGUAAUCUUACUAAUUACCUACUUUUUUUUGUAGGUAGCUUUUUCGUGUAACUGCAAAAUGAGCAUUUUUAAUGAAAUGGCAUGAUUUUAUUUUAUUAUUACUUUUUAAAUGUUUAUUUAUUUUUGAGAGAGAGAGAGCGCGACGGCGCAAGUGGGGAGGGGCAGAGAGAGGAGACAGAAUCCGAAGCAGGCUCCAGGCUCUGAGCUGUCAGCACAGAGCCCACUGUAGGGUUCAAACUCAUAAACCCUGAGAUUAUGACCUGAGCCGAAGUCGGACACUUAACUGACUGAGCCACCCAGGCACCCCUGAAAUGGCAUGAUUUUAAAACGUGAUUUCUGGGUGGCUCAGUCACUUAAGUGUCCGACUUCGGCUCAGGUCAUGAUCUGGUGGUUUGUGAGUUUGAGUCCCCCCACUGGGCUCUGUGCUGAGCCUCCUUCGGAUUUUGUGUCUCCCUUUCUCUCUGCCCCUCCCCCACUCAUGCUCUCUCACUGUCUCUCAAAAAUAAAUAAACAUUUAAAAAAUUUUUUUAAAAUGUGGUUUCAAAUGGCUGUAAGAUAUUUCAUCGAAUGGUCAUACCAUUGUUUAUUUGCACAUUCCACUGUUGUUGACCUCUCCCUCCCCAGCUCGUCUUUGUUUUGAGCCUCAGAACUUUAUGGAACAUGACAGUCAGGAGCCAUUUGUUUGGGUUGUAUUGGUGUAAUAUUAAUCCAGAACUGGGACCUCUGCCAAGGCCUCUUCUUGCCAAGGUGCUGGGAGGAGGGACCUGGCUAUGGUAUAGGCCUGGCUGCGACAGAGGUUCCUAGCAUGGCCCCUUUAGUCCUCAACUUCCUAGUCCUUAAAGUGGGGGAACUCAUGUGAGUGGCCAUCAGGAAGCUUCUGUGGCUUAUGCAGGGGUAACUCGGUGGGACACAAGUUUAGACUGGCUCUCAGAACCCAUCAGGAAAUUGGUUGAGUCUCAUUUCCAGCCUUGGGCCUGGCAUGGUGGCCCAGGUGCCAGGAACAUGCUGCUGUGACCCAGCUUGGUCUCCUUCCUUGAGCUGUUUUGGACUCUUGCCUUAUCCCACAAGCAGAGCCAUCCCUCCAGACCUCCUGGGUAUUCACCCUGGAGUCAUCAGGUGCUGUUUACCCUUUCCCGGACGGCCUGGGAAGCUCAGUGGCCUGGGCUGCUGGAGACUGCCUAGGGCCAGUGCCUUGUUUAGCUACUCUAAAUGUCAGGGCAGAAACCAGCCUUCUCUCCCAGUACCUCUUUUUUUUUUUUUUUUUAUGUUUAUUUUUGAGAGAGAGAGAGAGAGAGGGAGAGAGAGACAGAGAGACAGAGCACGAGUGGGGGUGGGCAGAGAGAGAGGGAGACACAGAAUCUGAAACAGGCUCCAGGCUCUGAGCUGUCAGCACAGAGCCCGAUGUAGGGCUCGAAUUCCGGAACAGCGAGAUCAUGACCUAGGCCGAAGUCGGACGCUUAACCAACUGAGCCACCCAGGUGUCCCCUCCACCCCCCGCCCAGUACCUCUUAAUUCCACAUCUGAUGGGGGUGCCUGGCUGGCUCAGCCUGAGGAGCAUGCAACUCUUGAUCUCAGGGUUAUGAGUUUGAGCCCCACGUUGGGUGUAGAGAUUACUUAGAUAAAUAAAGCUUAAAAAGAAUUAUACAUCUGAUGGUGAUAAGGAUUAAUAAUAACUAUAAUGAUAAUAAGCAGUGUCCUUUGUACUUGAGACCCACAGCCACUUUCAGUUCUGUUGACCCUUUUCCCUCUCUUCCUGCCCCAGCGAAGGGAUAAGUUGAGGCGUUGAGAGAUUUGAGUUUGGUGCAGUAGUGUAGGUAGGCAGGAAGGAUUGGCCAGGCUUGGGUUCCAGUCCUGGCUCUGUCCUCUGAUGUUCCCUUGUUGCUCCCCCACUGAGCCUCAGUCUUCCUCACAUAUCCAAUGAAAACAGUGAUGCCUGACUUGCAAAGCUGAUACAAGGAUCGCAUGAGAGUCUUUCUGUAAAACUCCCUGUGACGUAGUAGGUGCCCCCUCAGUGUUGUUUUGUGGAUAUUGUUCAGGGUCACAAAAUACCAGAGGGACUUGCCCACCCAGUCCCCUCCCUGCUCACGUUUUCCUGGAGUCUCUUCAACUGUGUGUUUACCUAGCCAGCUCUAGGCAGGAAGCUUUCCUGUUGGGCCGAUCAGAGAAGUAUGGCAGGCCAGAGCUGACAUCGUUUUCAGCUCCUGGCUAGGACAUUCUGCCAAGACAGGCCAUGUUCUCCUACACCUCGCUCAUUCAAGUGAAAGUAACUGGGGCCUUUUCCUUUUGGCUUUUUCCUUGGCUGGUCUGGAGAAGGCAGCUCCACAUAAAUGCUGGGUGUGGUGUCAUGAUUAAUUUGCAAGUAUGUCUUCGUGGCCACACAUGUCUGCAGGCUCUUGUUGGAACCUAAAAAAGCCAACAGGAAGCCCAAGAGAGUCAUCUGGGAACAGGCUUUGCUUCUGGGUCCUGCCACCCUAACUAAGGUCACAAAGUUGGCUGCUUCCGGCAGGCACUGAACUCCAGCCUGGCUAGACUGAGCUGGCUGUUGAGAGUGUCCAGAGAAGAAUCUUACAGACUUUCCAGCUCUCUUCCCAAGACCUUGAGUUUUGGAUGCCAUUCCUCUGGAGGCCACGGAUCCAUAGCAUCGACAUCACCUGGGAGCUAGUUGGAAAUGCAGAAUCUCAGGCCUCAAAUCAAACCUAUUGAGUCAGGACUUGGAGUUUAGCAAAAUCCCUAGGAGGUUCGUGUACAUGUUAGAGGUUGGGAGGCACUGAUUUAGAUCAGUUCUCAGCCAGGUGAAGUUAGAAUCAGCUGUAAAAAUGGGGCACCCGGGUGGCUCAGUUAAGAGUCUGACUUCAGCUCAGGUCAUGGUCUCAUGGUUCGUGGGUUCGAGCGCUAUAUUGAUCACUCUGCUAUCAUCGCAGAGCCCCUUCGGAUCCUCUGCCCCCCUCUCUCUCUGCCCCUCACUCACUCUCGUUCUCUCUCUCUCUCUCUUUCGAUCUCUCUCUCAAAAAUAAAUAGACAUAGGGGCACCUGGAUGGCUCAGUCGGUUACGUGUCCUGACUUAGGCUCAGGUCAUGAUCUCGUGGUUUGUGAGUUCGAGCCCUGUGUCGGGCUCUGUGCUGACAGCUCAGAGCCUGGAGCCUGCUUCAGAUUCUGUCUCCCUCUCUCUCUGCCCCUCCCUUGCUCAUGAUCUGUCUCUCAACAAUAAACAAACGUUAAAAAAAAAUAGACAUUAAAAAAUACAGUUAAAAAAAAAAGUAUAAGCUGUAAGAAAUGUACCGAUUCCCUAGGUCCUUCCCCAGACCACUGGAUCAGAAUCACUGUGGAUAAGAUCUGGGCACUGGUGGGUUUUUUGUUUGUUUGUUUUGUUUUGUUUUUUUAAGUUUAUUUAUUUUGAGAGAGAGAGAGUGAGGGAGGGGCAGAGAGAGAGAAUUGCAAGCAGGCUCUGCACUGUGAGUGCAGAGCCCAAUGCAGGGCUUUAACCCGUGAACUAAACCAUGAGAUCAUGACCUGAGCUGAAACCAAGAGUCCAACGCUUAGCAGACUGAGCCACCCAGGCUCCCCUGGGCACUGGUAUUAAAAAAGAAAAAAAUUUCCUCAGUGAUUCUAAUAUGCAGCUGUAGCAGAGAAUUAAUUUAGACCCUUAUCUUUGGGAUGGAUGUUCGUAAAUGACGAUGAUCAUGAGAGUGCUAGUUGCUGUUUAUUGACCUUCUACUCUGCAUAAAGGUCAUUACCCUUACCUAGAGUGCUGGAUGAAGGUCUUUAGCUUUAUCUAGAAUCUUUACUUAAACCUGAAGGUUGUAGCCCUCUCACUGAGGCUCAGAGAAGUGACGCAAGGCCCCCAAGGCCACGUAAGUGGUGGGGCUGGAACUGCCUGCCCAGACGCUAUACUGAAGCUCGGGAUGGUUCAGAUGGGUCUGGUUCUCCUUGGAAAAUCCGGCAGCGGGUUCUUUUCUUUCCUGCCUCAGUUUCAAUGAUACUUUCAGAUGGUGUGGCUUGGGGAUCAUUUAGUUCGAGGAAAGGCACAGCAGCUUUUAGCCCUCAGAUUCAUGUGUCUCCUAGAAUGAAGGGAUGGAGGGGUGGGGUGAAUGGCAGACAAUGAUAGAGAAAUCUCAGGGAAGGGAGGUAUUUCCACAGGUCGUAGAGCCCCAGCACAGCUCUGUCUGUGUGAAGCUAGCCGUGGGUUCCACCAAGUCCCUGUGUCCCUGUGUCCCCAAACUCCGCACGCCUCCAGAUGAGCAGUGCUCUUUCCAGUUCUGCAAAUCUGAGUUUCUACGAUAACAGUGGGGAGACUGAGGCAUUGGCCAGAAGCAAGCCAGACCGCAGACCCUAAGUUGUCUGCUCCAGGAGUAGCCGGGAGGCCAUCGCGCUGGGGAUGGUUGCCAUGGGGGAGUCAGCGCACGGUGGAGGGGGGAGUACACAGAACCCUGAAGCGGAACCUCCCCGGGAGUUGUGAGCCUGCAGAGAAACCAGGCGAGAAGUGCAAAGAAAAUGGGCCAGACAUUGAGAAAUGGCCCUUUUCUUUCAUGUUUUGAACCAUGUCCAAACCUCACUUCUGAGUUCGAAUAAGGAUUUGAAAAUCAGCCUGAGGCUCCCACGGAAUCUAAAUCCAGGUUACUGUGUGCAUCUUCCUUAUAAAGUCAUGGAAUUGCUGCGUUGAGGGAAUGGAAUGAGCAAGGGUGGGUGUUUCACUGCUUCUUUUUUUUUUUUCUUUCAUUGCUUUUCUUUUUAAGAGAACUCCUCGCCCUUGUAUUGUAUGGCACCUUGCUAUUCUCAGGGGCCUUCGUGCAUGUCACUGCAUUGCUGAUCCCUGCACCAUCUCUGUGGGGCCCAAAGAGUGUGUGAAUGACCCCCAAUAUGUAGCAGAGGACGCACAGGCCCACAGAUGCUAAAUGAGGGCCUUGAGGCCCCACAGCAAAUUGGGGCAUAGCCUGGCCUGGAAUGUGGGUCUUCAGACCCCAAGCACAGCAGUCCUUGUGUCCCACCAGUGCUUUUCUGGUGACUCCCUCCUUGGGCCUUCCAGGGUCUGGAGCUGGACGCUGUCAUAGCCUUGGUGUAGGUGUAGCUCAUAAAAUACAGUCAAUUUCAGUCAUCUGCACUUGUGUUUUACUUAUUUAUUUAUUUUGAGAAAGGGCGCAGCGAGUGAGCGUGGAGAGAGAGAGAGAAUCCCGUGAGAGCAGAGAGAGAGAAGCGGGGCUCACCUGAAGCGGGGCUCGAGCUCAUCCAAUGUGGGGCUCGAACUCAUGAACCGUGAGAUCAUGACUUGAGCCGAAGUCCGAUGCUUAACCGACUGAGCCACCCAGGCGCCCCUGCACUUCUGUUUUUUUUUAAAUUUUUUUUUUUUUCAACGUUUAUUUAUUUUUGGGACAGAGAGAGACAGAGCAUGAAUGGGGGAGGGGCAGAGAGAGAGGGAGACACAGAAUCGGAAACAGGCUCCAGGCUCUGAGCCAUCAGCGCAGAGCCUGACGCGGGGCUCGAACUCACGGACCGCGAGAUCGUGACCUGGCUGAAGUCGGACGCUUAACCGACUGCGCCACCCAGGCGCCCCUGCACUUCUGUUUUAAAACAUGGUUUCCUUUUAAAUUAUAUAGCCAAUGCACAACUAUAUUACUUUCAUUAAAAAUUUCAAAUAAUACAAAUAAAUAGCCCCCUUUGACUACCCUCUCCCUAGCCCACUCUUCAGAAGCAACCGCUGAUGACAGUUUGAUGUGAAUCCUCCUAGUCCGUUAAAAAAAAAUGCAUUUUGCAUGUGUUACUGAUGGAUUAUUAUAAUCCCUAACCAUCUUGCUUGCUUUAAUUGCCAGCUGUGAGUGCAUGUGUGUAGAGAAAGCAAACGUUCUAAUAUUACCUUCAGCAAGAUAAAACCAGGGUGGUAAAUCAGCCAGACUGGGGGUUUAAAGCAGUGAUUCUCCAACUUGCACGUGCAUAUGAAUCACCCAUAGAUUGUUCUAAAAUGCAGAUUCUGAUUCAGUAGGUCUGGUAUAGGUCCUAGGAUCCUGUAUUUCUUUUCUUUUCUUUUUUUUUUUAAUGUUUAUUUGUUUUUGAGAGACAGAGUGCAAGCAGGGGAGGGGCAGAGAGAGAGGGAGACACAGAAUUGGAAGCAGGCUCCAGGCUCCGAGCUGUCAGCACAGAGCCCGACGCGGGGCUCCAACCCAUUAACCGUGAGAUCAUGACCUGAGCUGAAGUUGGACGCUUAACCAACUGAGCUACCCAGGCGCCCCAGAUCCUGCAUUUCUAAUCAGCUCCCAGUUGGCACAGAUUCUGCCAAUUGUAGGCUACAUUUUAAGCAGGAAGGGUUUAGAGCACAGGCCCUGGGCUCAAGCCCACCUGCCGGGCCUUUCAUUGCCAGGUGACUGAGCUGGGCAAGUGUGUAAGCUUUCUGUGCUUGUACAAAGAGGAUAAGAAGGACACCUUAUCCAUGGGAUUCUUGUGAAAACAAAAUGAUCUGGGGCACGUGGAGCAUUUAGUCCAGUGCCUGGCACGUAGUGAGCGCCCGAUAAAUGUAAGUUAUUAGUGUGACCUAGAGAUGAAUACCAUUAUGUUGUCUAAGCCAAACAGAAAACGCCUGCUGGUUGGCUAGUAUAUGGAACUGUCUGUACUGAUGCACUUCUCCAUUAUUCGUCCCGUGUCAUAAUCACCAUCGUCAUCAUCAGGAUUUUUAAUACGCUUUGUAUGGUAUUCUUUACUUAUGAGGGAACUGAGGCUCGGGGAGUUUUUGAGUGAAUUAACCAGAUCCACAGAGCUAAGAAGUAGCGGAAACAAACUUACACCCAGGUUCCAGGUCUGGUGCUUGUUGUAUAUACGCUGUAGCUGACUUCUCUUGCCUGCGGAGCGGGAACUAGAGCCUCUGAGGGUGGUGCCAGGGAAAUUUUGAAAAACUGUAUCCCCUUACACAUUUUUAAAAUUCACAUGUAAAAACUUCUAUCAUAACUUUAAGUAGAGUGUAUUACCAGGCUGACGGUAGGUCACCUACUUGCUUUGAGUAUAUUUUUGUCAAAGCCCUAACACGGCAGGCUCAGCCCAUGCAACUACGGAAAAUGCCUGUCAUAAUUCCUAAUGGGCAGACUGGACCUCGUUGUUCGAGCCCUCAGCCAAAUCUUACUUUGUGUCAGAAAAAGUCAGACUUCAUUUUGCGAUUUGAAUAAAUGUGUUAAACGGGUGUCCCUGUGUCCGCUUCCUUGCUUCCCGAUCCUAACCCUGAAAUAAACAGAUGGGUAGGUAAGGAGGUAGAUAAGGCCUUGGUAAAAUAAGGCCAGCUCCCUUCUCAAUGUCCAUCCCCUGGGGACUCCCCCCCCCCCCCAUGGGAGAGCACCAGCGUGCAGUUAGGAUGGCUAGGGGUGGGUCUUUCUUUUGGGAAAUGUUGAGGAGGGCCAUCAUGAAAAGAGAGCUGUAGAUCCAGAUGGUUCCCAGCACCGUCUGUCUUUUCUCGUUUUGGAAAGGACUACCUGGGGCGCCUGGGUGGCUCAGUCGGUUAAGCAUCUGACUCUUGAUUUCGGCUCAGGUCAUGAUCUCAUGGUUUGUGAGUUUGAGUCCUACGUUGGCUCUGUGCUGACAGCAUGGAGCCUACUUGGGAUUCUCUCUCCCUUCUCUCUGCCCCAUCCUGAUGGGUGCUUUUUCUUUCUCUCAAAAUAAAUAAACUUAAAAAAAAUUUUUUUUGGAAGGAAGGAAGGAAAAAAAGAAAAAGGAAGAACGAGAAAGAAAGAAAGAAAGAAAGAAAGAAAGAAAGAAAGAAAGCGAGCAAGUGAGCAGACUGUGGAAAUGAGGUUUUGGAAAUUGAUUCCUUGAAAGCCAACACCCCGGGAAGUGCCCGCAUUUCCCAGAUGUAUGCUGGUGGGAAGAACACUAAACCAGGUGCCCCACCAGAGAUGCUACCCAGGGUUUUGCUCUGCAAAUGUUAUACUGCUCACUCCAGAGCUUGUGGGCCUUUGGGACUCCUUUGCUGGAGCUGGAGUCUUCCUCCUGUGGGCUCCCCAGUGACACCUUGGACCCAUGCCCCAUGUCUCUUCCCAGCUCCCCUUUUCCCAGUGAGAUGGCAAGAGCUCACACUGUAUACCUCCUUGUUACAGGUAAACUGAGGCCCAGAACAGGAGACUAACUUCAUGGCCACACGCCAGUCCACGUACCCCACCAAGAAAGCCACUGGCCUUCCCAGGGGGAGCAUCACAAGGCAAAAAAGCCUUGGGUGGGUCAGAAGAGCUGGUCUUCAGAGCUCAUCCCCUGCCUCAGUGAAAGUCACUUGCACUCUCUCGUCCUCAGCAUCUCUGCUAAAUGGGCUGAUGUGGCAGGCAUUUGGCCGAGUGUUCACAGGCUUGGAAGCUGGGCACUCCACGCUUUGCCAUUUACUAGCUGAGUGACCUUAGGCAAGUUCCUUACCUCUCUGUGCCUGUCUCCCCCUCAGGAAACCGGGAUAAGGAUGGUGUCUCCCCCUGGGCCGGUUGAGAGGGUCAAUGAAACAAAGGCUAUUUAGCGUCUGGCCCACACAGCAUGCUCAGUAAAUAUUAUUGUUGCUGUUAUGCUUGUUUUUUGUGUAGUCAGGAGAAAAAACGGAGUGGAGUGAAGUCCCAGUUGAGGCUUUCCAAGGGCAGGGCUGUGCUAGUGUGUGGCAUCGAUCGUCUCCUUCCCAGGAUGGCAACACGUGCGGAGGGGCGCUUAAUAUGUGUCACCUGAUGACUGACGGGAGCCAGCCCGGAGGCUCUCAUUACUGCCCUGGGCCCCUGCCAUCUGCUGAGCCUGCGGUUGGCAUCUUCCUCUGGCCUUCACCCUCCCGGGAGCAUUUCAAGCCUCUGGCCUUGUGCCGGGGUGGGUGGGGGUGUGGGGGGGUGCUGAAGACUGCCCCCUUCUGCUCCCCACGUUUCCCCUCAGAUUUGAGAGUGCCCUGCUUUUGGGGUCCACCUGCCUGGCCCCUCCUGCUGCGGGUUCCUGCGCUCUUUGGGGGUGCUCUUUGGGGGUGCGUGGGGCCACAGACGCUCAGCCGACUCACCCUUCUGUUUCCAAGCUGGCCUGUCUCCAUUUCUCAUGGGCCUCUCCCAGCAGAUAUUUCAUAAAGAGUCUUGUCCCCACCCCUCCAUCCCUUCCCCUUGGGAAUUUUGUCAUCUUUUCUUACAAACUUUCAGCUGGAAGUCACUCCCUGGCUCUCUGUCCUCAGCCUCAGACACGGAAAUAGUGAAACAAAAUAAACGCUCCAAUUCACCAUGGGCUUUUGCUGUUCCAAGGAAUCCCUUUGUCAAGCAAAGAAUCCUUUUGUAAAGUGAAUAAUUGCUCACUUUGGAUUUCUAUCCGGGAUUUUUUUUGUUGGGGAACUUUCUCAAGAGUGGGGCCAGGCUCGUUCGUAGGCCUGGGGGGUGGGGAGGCUUCUCACCUCCCUCCCUACCAACUGCAAAAGCUCAGGGUAUGGCUUCGAGAUCUUCUGAUUACCUUUAAUCCUUCCGCCGUCUUCCUGUCAGGGCUCUAGCCCGCCAACAUCGAUCAUGCCGCCCGGAAGGUGGUGACGGGUUUGUGUUUCUCGCUCUGUUUUGUUCCUUUGCUUCGCCAGUCGUGUCUCCAUGGAAACAGGUGCAGCCUUUGUGUUGCGUUUGCUUGGGGCAAAUCGAUGCCUAGUGGGGAUUUUUCUUUGCUCUUCACCCCCCCUCCCCAAUUUGGCAUCAAAGACAGAGGUGGGGGCAGCGCAGGGAUUUACAGGGGGACUCUGGUAGCCGGGAGCACCCAGGGUGGGGGAGCUCUCGUCAGUCCUCCAGCGGGGACUCCAAGACUUGGAGCCUGGCCUGGCCUCCCUUCGUGGUUGCCGCAUCAUGAGGCUGUCAGAGGGAGGGGAGCCCGCAGUGGUUUGUAGACACGCAGCCCUCCUGGGCCCUUUGUAUUUGCAGGGGCAGCUGCUUGCCAGGCGGCAGGGGCGGGGGGGGGGGGGGGGGGGGGGCGACAGGAGGCUGGGUGGGAAAGGUGACAACAGCACUGAUCCUUUGGCAGGACCUGCGGGGCGAGGACUUUGACCUUUGCGGGCCUUGGUGUCUUCUGAGAGCGUGUGAGGUUUUAAACCUCUUUGGUACUUAGACUCCUUUUACCUUAAGGAAACCCCACAUGUGGGUAAACUCUGCUAAAUUAGCGUCACAUGAUUGUUCCAUGGUGAAGAGUAAAUGCUGUGUUUGAUUCAAACCAGUGAGUUACCUGGUUUGCGAUGAACCUUCAGAAUCAGGAACCUCUCUUUAGACUGAACCUCGUGCUUCUGAUCCAGCCUCCCUCCUCCCAAGCUCCCCCUCCUCCUGCCCAAGGUAUUCUGCAUCCCUGGCUGUUCACAGUCUAGUAGGUGAACCUUCUGUUCCAGGUCAAAGCCCCAGGGUUGGCCCCAGCAGCCUGGGGCGACAGCAGAUCCGCUCUGUGUUCUCAAAACCCUCCCAGAAGUUCAUGGGCGGGUGGGCUUCGAAGCAGCAGUGUCCUGCCUGAGCCCUGCCUGCCGUAUUUCCCACAGUCACCUCUGGUCACCGCUGCUUUGACCAACUCCGUCAUCCAAUGGACGACACAGUAGGCUUCUAGCAAUACUGCACUGGUGCUAACCUUAAGGCAGUCACAUCCACUUCUUGAUUGAAUCAGCAAACUCCAAACUUCAUUUUCAUAUCUGAACUCUACCCAGCUGCUUGUUAAAUGCAGCAAAGGUUGUAUUUAACCUUGGCUUUGCAUUGUCUGAAAGCCUCCCUCGACACCGGACCUGGAGCAAAAUUCCCUGAGGAGGCUCCUGAGCAUGUUAGGAGAUACACUCGCUAGUGGUGGGAAAGGUCAAGUUGUCCAGUCUCCUGCCUGCAGAAUGGGCACAUGGUGGGGCUACGACUUUCAGGUUUCUGUGCUGGAGAGUGAACUCUCUAAUGCCUCUUCAUAGUCAACAAGUUUCUAAUGGAAUCUAACUUAAAUCCCAUCUCAUUUUGUCCUGGCUUGAGGAAAGAUAGAGAACAAAGGGCAAGUAUCCUUAAUGCUUUACUCAAAGAGCCUUAAAUCUCUGCUCAGCCUUGGCCAAACACACCCCCUUUUUUGAGGGUUGCCUUCUCGCUUUCUCUCCUUCCCGCAGAACAAUGCCCGAGUUUGCUGUUGGUAAGACAAGGAGAAUAGUAGCUGUCUCAUUGGGUUGGUGUGAAAAUUAAAUGGAGGCUCUGGGAAUACACCUCACUGUGCACCUGUCCUGUGGUUCAUUUUCAGUCACUCCAGUUGAGCCUGAAUACAUUUUAUUUCCUGCCUACUGUUAUGCCACUCAGCGUCCCUGCUUUUUUGCACAGCCUCUCUGGAGUAAAGCCCCUGGGCUAGUGGGACCUCCUCCUCAUUGUUCCUGGCCCAGACAGGCCGGGUGGGGCACGUGCAGGCGACCCCUCUGCUGCUCCCGAAGAGAUGUGGGUGUGGGGGAGAAAAGCCUUUCUACGCCAAGGUCUUGGAUGGCAUUGUCCCUGUCCCUGUUUCUCACCCGACCUCUGCUCCCAGUUGGAAACGCUGAUGCCUGGUCUCUCUGCAACCUGGAUCCGUGCUUUGUCCAAAGCGCGAGGUAUGAGCUGCUGCGACCCCUAAACCUCAGGGAGCGAGGGCUUCGGAGGUAGCAGGUUUUUUUCUGGGUGUUACUCUUUCUCCCUUUGAACCCCACAUGCCCUAGCAGACUGGUUGAGAGCAAAGAGUGGGGAGCCAUGCUCCCUGGGUUCUUGCCCAGCUCUCCCACUGUGCCCCCCUGGGCCUCAGGCUUCUCCAUGGCACAUGGGAAGUGCUAAAACAAGUAUUUGCUGUAACUAAAAAAAUUUGCCUAGUGGAGCUGUUUGAUUUAAAAUCCCCUCCCCCUUUCUCUUGGUCAGCAUAAAUAUCCAUAUUGCUUGUCCGCUUUAUGCUGCGCACUGACCUAGGUGUUGGGGCGGCAGAGCUGAAUGAGACCAGAACAAUCCCUGCCCUGCAGGUGGGCACCGGCCUGUUGGGGCCACCGGUCAGCCGCACACUGGUAAUUGUGAUAUGUGACGUGCUGAUGGUGCAAUAAGAAUCUAACAGGCCAAGGCUACGUGGGGGUGAGCCAAAGAGUGCCUCUGGGAAGACUUCUUGGAGGAGGAGGACUGCAAACUGAAUCCUGAGAUAAAGAGUUGCAGUUGAUCAGGGUGAGGCUGUUGGGGCCAAGGCAUUAAGAGCACCAGGAAAGGGGCACCUGGGUGGCUCAAUUGGUUAAGCGUCUGAAACUUGAUUUCUGCUCAGGCCACAAUCUCACGGUUUGUGGGUUUGAGCCCCACGUCAGGCUCUGUGCUGACGGCGUGGAGCCUGCUUGGGAUUCUCUGUCUCCCUCUCUCUCUGCCCUUCCCCAACCCACUUAUGCUUGCUCUCUCUCUCUCUCUCUCAAAAUAAAUAAAUAAACAUUUAAAAAAAAAAAAAAAGGAGCAUCAGGAAAUGUGCCAGGAUCAGCGGUGGUCAGAGGAUGCCGUGGCCCAGGACUCGGACAUGCACUGGCUAAAUCAGCAGGUCCCUGGAGGGCAGGUCCACCUGAACUAGGAGGAUGGCAUCUCCUCUCCAGAACUCUGAGUGUGCCCCGGGUGGGGCUGGGGGGCAGAGACUAAGUACUUCAAUGUUGACAUUCCUUCUCCUCUCCAGCUGAUCUCUAGGUUCUGGUGAUGUUUUUCCCUACAGCCCCUGCCCCUCCCUUCUCCCUCUUAGAUAAUGAUUUGCUACUCACUUCAGGGGAGCUGGGUGGGGGGGAGGGGUAGUGUCUUUUAAAUAGAAGCCCCCAGAAUACCCUGAGCCUCUUUGACUUGCUUGGGGUGGGGAUGGUUGGGGAAUGAGAAUUGCCUGUUCCUCAGGAAAUUCUGAUUCAGUACGGGGCCCCGGACCUUUGUCUUUCACAAGCACCCCCCCACCCCGUGAUCCUGUUGCACAGAGGGGUGGGGGGCGCAGACCCCCCUGCCUGGUCUCCUUGCAGUUUUUUUAUUUUACUUUUACAGGAGGCAUUAUUGUUGCUUAUUUUUAAAUCUCUCCUUUUAUUCUUCCAAUGGGGAUCCCUAUCAUCUUGUUUGGGGCUUUACUACUUUUUAAAAAGAUACUGUUAGCUAGUGAAAUGGGGGCACAAAGAAGUAGAAGUGGCCCAAGGUCACGGAGAACCCAACAUCUGCCUUAUAGAAUCCAUGGGAUCUUCAGCCUGCUCAGAAUGUCUCGUCAGGCAGAAGCCUCAGUGCCCAGAGCCCCAGAUGUUUGCCAAAGUGGGACAACGGUCUGCUCCUCAGACAUUCGCUACCUUUUUAUAAGGCAGGGUAUCUUCUUGCCUCCCUCCCUUGGGUUCCAGGCCUGUGUCAUCACAAUUGACAUAGGCUAGCAGUCCAGGGACCCGGGGCAGUGGGGGGGGGGGGGGGGGGGCACAGGACGAGUCAAGAGGGUCCUUGGCUUCAUGCAGGAUAGAAAUCAAAUGCAAGCAGAGUUUACUAAACAGCGUAAGUGAUAGGGUAUAGCAGACGGUGUUGUCUGAAAGACUCAGAAAGGAAAGUUGUCUCUUGGGCUUAGGGGUUUAUAUUGGAAAGGGGUCCAGGGUAUGUGUUCCUUCAGGAGUCCGGGAUAGGGUCCAAUCCAAAGUGAGUGUCAGGUGAACAAUAGGUGUUGUUUCAUAAAUCAUCAAAGGGAGGGAGUAUUGAUGCCAGCGUGGGCCAAGGUUUGUUUGAAACUAAUGUCCUGGAACAUGUUUGAGAUCUGGUUCUUCUUAGAUGGUGUCAUGUGUCUUGGGGGCCUGGGACGGGACGAGACUCAGAGAAUGAUUAACUUCCUCGUUUCCCCCUUGCAGUGGGAACGUAGCUUCUCUGGUUUACCCAGAUGCAAGGUGGGAUACGGAGCAUGCGUAAAUGGAGCCUUUCUAAAAUGGAGUCCCUUCUGCUUCCCUAUCUCACAACCAUUGUUCUGCCCACUUUCUUGAAAAUCUGUUCUCCUACCAAUACCUGCCCAUAAAUCUUGUCUCCAGGAAGUCCUGGGUGGCUUAGCCAGGGAAAAACGAAGCCUGCAAACGGCAAGCAAACCUUCACCAUGGCUACACGUGGGUGUGACCACAGCUGUGGUCACCUCUCAGGCCAAGGCAGUGUGUGGGUAGCGGUCUCUGGGGCUGCAGAGGUGGGCUGUUUGACUGCCUUUGGGAGGAGCCCUUUCUGCAGGCUUCUGUGGCAACGUAUGCUAUUGUAAUUCUUGUUCUCCACGAAGAAAAGAUAUUUUCCUCUUGGGUAUCCGACCUACAGUAGGUGCUCCCUAAGUAUUUUUUGACUGACAGUGAAUGAAUGGGUGCAUCGUUAGGAGUCUGUGUGUGAAUGAAACAGAUUCAGUUCUCCUGGGACAUUUAGAAUACCUCCUGGAUAUUGUGGGGUCACUGAAGAAAUGUUCCUCCCAGCCAGCUCUUAAGAGCUGAUAUGAUGGAAGGAGGCAGUGAAUGGCAAAAGUGCCAUGUUGCCCAUCCACAUGGCCACUAAGUGCUCUCUCCCCUUUUCCAGACCACCAGAACACUUUCAGUGCUAGGGAUGGUCUAGAAGAACAGAGAUUGAUAUGGGCUGACGUUUCCAGGGACUGCCUCAUGGAAAGGGGAACUUGCACUAGCUCUUGAAAGCUGGACAGGGCUUGUUUAGGAGACGCAGGAGAGGUGCAAAUCAGUGUUCUAAAGUGUGGUCUCUGGGGGCGCCUAGGUGGAUCAGUUGGUUGAUUUCAGCUCAGGUCAUGGUCUCGCGUGAAUUCGAGCCCCGUACUGGACUCUGUGCUGACAGUGGAGCCUCCUUGGGAUUCUCGGUCUCCCUCUCUCUCUUCCUCUCCCCCCUCUCUCCCUCUCUCUCUGUCUCUCUCUCAAAAAUAAAAUAAAGUGUGGUCUUUGAACCAGUGGUGUCAGCAUCACCUGGGAACUUGCUAGACAUGCAAAUUUUGGGGCCCCACCCCAGACCUAGGGAACAGGAGCUGUGGGUUAGAGCCCAGCAGCAGCGUGUGUUCAAGAGCCCUGCAGGUGACCCCAAUGCUCUCUGAGUGUGGCCACCGCUGAUGCAGACAAAGGGAGGAGUCUGAUCUUUCCAGGAGAGAGGAGCUGGGAAGUGACACGACAUAUCGGCAUAUCGUAGAUGAGUCCUUCUGUUGGCAGCACAGAGAGAAGACAGGAGGGGGACGGGAGAGCGCUAGGAGACAUCAGAGAAGCAGGCAUGGGAUAAACUUGAGGUUUGCCCCACUUAAAGAGCAUUCUUUUCAGGGCACCUGGGUAGCUCAGUCGGUUAAGUGUCAGACUCUUGACUUCAGCUCAGGUCAUGAUCUCAUGGUUGGUGAUUUCGAGCCCUGCAUUGGGCUCUGUGCUGACAGCAUGGACCUUGCUUGGGAUUCUCUGUCUCCCUCCCUCUCUCUGCCCCUCCCCUGCCUGCUGUCUAUUUCUCUCUAAAUAAAUAAAUAAAGCACUCUUUUCUUUAAAUGUUUAAAAUGACUCGUGCCCUGUCACACUUAUAUGCUGAUCAUGGAAAAAAUGUAAGAAGGAAUGAAAGGUAGGGGCGGGACGCAGAAAUCUACCAUCCAAGACAACUAUUGACAGACAGCGUGUUUCCUGCCGCCCGUCCCCCUAUGUGUGUUUCCUUGACAGGGCUGAAAGCAUACCAUAUGUAUCCAUUUGCAUCCUGCAUUCUUACUUAACAAAAUAUUGUAAGCAUUUCCUGAUGUGCUUUCAGGCUGUCUCUUUUAUUGUCAUAAGAACCCUGUAAAUUGCCCAGAGGCAUUGCUGGUAAGGAAGGAGUAACUGAGGCCCAGAGAGAAAAGGAAACUUGGUCCAUGAACUUCAGACAGUUAGGGAAGUCCAUAGUCACAUGGCCUGGGCUCAUCAAUUCACAAAUUAUAAGGGAAAAAAAGGGGAGAUGAUGGGGGAAGCUGUAGAUUAAAAUAGGCUUAAAGGACAAACAAUAGGCAAGACUAAAAGUACAGUGUCCAGGGAUGUACAUUUGAACAAUAAAGAAGUGCACAGAAGUGAUUACUGCAAAAGUCAGUGUGUGGCAUGUGGAGGGGUUAUGGAGUGGCUGGCCACGUCUCCUUUCUUUUUUAUAAAUUUGUUUUUAAGUUUAUUUAUUUACUUUGAGAGAGAGAGAGAGAGAGAGAGAGAGAGAGAAUCCCAAGAAGGCUCCACACUGUCAGCACAGAGCCCAACUUGGGGCUGGAACUCAUGAACCACAAGAUCAUGUCCUGAGCGGAAGUCGGACGCUUAACUGACUGAGCCACCCAGGAGUCCCGCUGAGUAUCCUUUCUUGGCACAAAUGUAACAAACUUACAUUUGUUUAGAGCCGUUUUCUCUUAUUUAUUUAUUUAUUUAUUUAUUUAUUUAUUUAUUUAUUUAUGCAAAAUGUUCAGGGGACGAAGGUGUUGCUCAAGGAUCUAUGUGGCAGAGCCAGGAGCAGAACCCAGGCUCAGAGGUUCCCCUCAGGUCUCCGUUCCCCAUCGUUCCCACACUUUGUGCAUUGUCUGCUCACCUGCCCCCCAGCCCCCAGCCUCCAUCUGCCGCUUGCUGGAGAAACUACAGAUUGAUGGUUCGUGUUGGUUGACUUUCAGGGCUAGGCCAGAACACGCUUGGGGAGACCGGUGAUGGCCCUUGACUGAAAUGGGGAAACUCUGAAGGAGAUUGGCCACGUUAAGAGUGAAGGUGUAGGGGCUCCUGGGUGGCUUAGUCAGUUAAGUGUCUGACUUCAGCUCAGGUCAUGAUCUCCCAGUCAAUGAGUUCGAGCCCCGUGUCGGGCUCUGUGCUGACAGCUCAGACCCUGGAGCCUGCUUCAGAUACUGUGUCUCCCUCUCAUUUGCCCCUCCCCUGCUCACGUUCUGUCUCUUUGUCUCUCUCAAAAAUAAACAUUAAAAAAAAUUAAAAAAACAAAAAAAGAGCGAAGGUGUGUCUGACACCAUCUCCCGUCAUCCUGUGCGGUGUGUGCUGGGCCGGGGGGUGCCUUGACCAGUCCUGCUGUCUCCGGUUGGUUCAAAGACAGACACCCAAACACCCAAUAAUGCUUACUUCUCAGAAUCCCUUUCCUUAGCCCGGUCCAUCAGUUUCCUUAAAAUACUGUUUUUUUCUUUAAUAAGCACUUACCAUCCCCCCUCCCCCCAUACACGUGGCCCCUCUGCCUCAGGUGUUCUUUUCUUCUCUUUCCUAUUGUUUUGGACAAGCCCAAGGAGGCAGUGCCAGGGCCACCACGGGGCACACCUAGGAGAGGGGACAGAAGAUGAGCCCUGAUGAUAUGAAGCACACCCUUUCUCCCGGCAGACAAAUAGGAGGGCCUUUUCCAAAUCUGGGCUUCUGAGGCCAGGGCUUUGCGAGUUUUGAACCCGGGACUUGGGCUUCUAGCUGGACCUCUGCUUCUCUCUGCCCAGACUGGCAAGUUUCAUAGAACCAGCUGAGGUUCUGUGAGGACCCCAGUGGGGAGGGAUCCCAGGGCUCACCCCAGCCCUGCCUGCUCAGGAGAAGCGGUCUCUGCACUUACCCACCCUUCCCAGAAGGAUGUGGAAUGGCUCCUCUUUCGGGGAUCAGCUGCCCACAGUCCUUGGUCUCUCCCAGAUAAUUGUAACAAAGGGCUCCAGGGCUUUUCACACUGCUAAGGAGGAAGGCUCCCCUUUCGGUUCUAGAAUAACACUGAUAGAACUUCCUGAAAUGUUGGAAAUGUUCUAAAAUAUGUACUGUUCAAUACGAUGGCCAUUGGCCUCGGUGGCUGUUGAACACUUGCAAUGUGGUCUAUGAGGAACUGAAUUUUAUUUUAUUUAUUUAUUUUUAAUUAAAAAAAAAUUUAAUGUUUAUUUGUUUUUGAGAGAGAGACAGAGACAGAGCAUGAACGGGGGAGGGUCAGAGAGAAAGGGAGACACAGAAUCCGAAGCAGGCUCCAGGCUCUGAGCUGUCAGCACAGAGUCCGAUGCGGGGCUCGAACCCACAGACCUCGAGAUCAUGAUCUGAGCUGGAGUCGGACACUUAACCGACUGAGCCACCAGGUGCCCCGAGGAACCGAAUUUUAAGUUUUAUUUCAUUUUAAUUAAUUGUAAUUUAAAUGUACAUGUCAUAUGGGACUAGUGGCUACCUUCUUGGACAGUUCUAGAAGGAAUGGGUCUCUGAGAAGUCCACAGUGGCCACGUCGAGAUGUUUCAGAAGUGCCUGCCGCCCUCUUUCCUACAAGCCCACGUACACACAUUACACAUUUCAGCAAGGCCCUGGAUACAAUGUCCUUUUGUAACAAAGGCCACUGUUUGAAUAUUCUUAUCUCGAAUGAGGCGGAGCAGCCACGGACCACAAAUGUGCCCCCACGCACGGCUUCCCUUUGUCCUUGCACAAUUGAAGGCAAGCGGGGUAAGACCUCAGGAAACCGUGCACCUGAGAAGUCCCAAUCCAGCAGACAAGCCUGCUGUUGCGCCCUGGCAUAGGGUCUUGCCGUUCCCAGCUCCUCGCCUUCAGGAGGAAUGAGUCCAGUACCAGUUGAUGCCUGGUAGCUCGCCGACCCGAACGCUUGUGUGAAUGAGGCCUGGUCACCGGGGUGACCCGCCCACACUGGCAGUUUUGAUCUUACUUCCUUUUGAACAGCUUGGCCCUCAAGUAGAAAGGAUUUUUCCUUUCUGUAAGAAGGUGGAGGCUGGGGGCAGUUUUGGGUUUCUCGGCUUUAUAUAUGUGUGUGUGUAUAUAUAUGUGUGUGUGUAUAUAUAUAUAUACACAUAUAUCCAUAUAUAUAUCCAUAUAUAUAUAUAUAUAUAUCCAUAUAUAUAUAUAUAUAUAAAAGUUUAUUUAUUCUGAGAGAGAGAGUGAGCAGGGAGGGGCAGAGAGAGAGGGAGAGAGAGAGGAUCCCAAGCAGGCUCCACACUGCCAGUGCAGAGCCUGAUGGGGCGUUCAGACUCCCGAACUGUGGGAUCGUGACCUGAGCCGAAACCAAGAGCCAGACACUUAACCGACUGAGCCACCCAGGCACCCCUAUAUGUACAUAUUUUUGAGCAGGAUGGGUGGUGGCACGGAUGUUUACCAGAUGAGUCGGUUCUCUUACCCCCUGCCCCCUGCCUCCCAUUUUCCCAGUGUCCAGCGCCCAGGAGCGCCCUGUAAUGUUUGCUGAAUGCAUGAAUGAGUGAUUUCCCCCUGCCAGAGCACCCUGUAAGACAGACCUCUUCUUAUCCUCCUCUGUCUUAGGCUCCUUCUGUCUUUUCUUCCUCUGCCCCUGCAGUACAGACAAGCCACCUCCCCUCCCUGCUCCCUUUCUGUCCCAGGCUCUCAGUCGCGUGCUUCAUUUUCCAGCACGCUAACCUUUUCCAAUAGCUGUUUCCCAGUGUGUCGUAACCCACCUAUUCCGAAUGUUCCGGAACGUAUCCCUGCACUGCCAUCUCCCCGCGGCCCCAUGGCAUGUGUGACUCUGCAGGACCACGUGAGCAGUCCUCAUCAACAGGGGUGUCAUUGUCCCCUGGCCCACUCCAUGCAGAUGGGGACAGAGUCCCUCUGUGCCGGCAGGAUUUCCUGUGCGCUGGUUGCCCUGUGUCCGAAAAGAGCCCGAGUGGCGCCCCCUUCUGUCUGGUGAUUCCGCCACCUCCUCCUGCCUGGCUUCCUUAGCUCUUUACUUUGUGUUGUGGUAAAAUCUGUAUAACAUAAACUUUUCCAUUUUAACCACUUCUAAGGGGCUGUUCGGUGGCAUUAAGUACGUUCACGCUGGUAUACGAUCAUCACCACCAUCCACUUCCAGAACUUGGUCAUCAUCCCCAACAGAAACUGAGUUAUGCCUCAAACCAUAACUUCAUUCCCCCAUUCCCUCAGCCGCCGGUAACCUCUGUCCUAAUUUCUGUCUCUCGGAAUUUCUCUAUUCUAGGUAGCUCGCAGAAGUAGGAUCAUACAGCAUUUGUCCUUUUGUGUCUGGCUUUUAACAUGUUUUCAAGGUCCGUCCGUGUUGUAGCAUAUAUUGCAAUUUCCUUCCUUUUUAUGGCAGAAUAAUGUUCCACUGUUCCAUAUGUAUACACUAUAAUUUGUUUAUCCAUUCAUCUGUGGAUGGACUCUUGGGUCAUUUCUACCUUUGGGAUAUUGUGAAUAAUGUUCUUAAGAACAUGGGUGUGUACGAAUAUCUGUUUGAAUCACCACUUUCAGUUCUUCGGGGUGUAUACCUUCGGAGUGGAAUUUCUAGAACAUAUGUUAGUUUUGGGUUUAACUUUUGAAGGAACUACCAAAGUGUUUUCCAGCGCAGCAGCAUUUUACAUUCCCACCACCAGUGCACUUUAUUACUAUUAUUUUUAAUUCUUAAUUUUAAACUACAGAGCUAAUACGUGUUUGUUGAAAAACUUCAAAGGAUGCAGGGAAGCGGGAAGUAAACAGCAGAAGAUCCCCCCUGGUGCAGCCCCACCUCUACUAUAACUGCUACUUAGUAGCUGGGGUGUCUGCACUUCCUGUGCAGGUCUAGAUACGCAAGUACACACUCAAGACACCUGCGUGCAAACAGUGGGUGUGCACGUGGCCCAGUAACUUGGCUUUCUCGUGUCAUUCCUUGUUGGCCCCUGAACGUCUCGGCUGCAUGCUUUCCCGUGUUGGGGGUGUAUCCUGUGUUAUUUAUUGGUUAGUGGGUAUUGAGAGACAAGUGGGGGGCUUUCCCCUCUUUGCUCUAGCAAAUUGCACUGAGCUUACUGCUUUGCACACGUGGGCCACAAUCUCACCAGAUCACAGCCUAUGUGGGAAAAAUGUGAGCGGAGCUUGGUACUGGGGAGGCCAUGCGGCCCAGAACCAUCUUCCCCACCAGUGGCCGCUUUUCCCAAAUUGCUCUCCUCUCCCAGGGCAGCUAAGCUAAGCUGAGCUGUGGGCCUCUUUGUGAAGGCGGGCCACCCACCUCAGCCAAGAGACAGCCUUGGCCGGGCACGCCCUCCCCUCUGGGAAUUCCCAGAGUCAAGUAACUUAGAGCUGGAUGGAGAGGUGAGCAGUGGGCUGGAGAGAGGGAGAGAGGGAAAGAGUCUGGGCUCUGGUGCGGAGGGGGGCAGGGCGGGGGUUUCUUUUAGGGGCACGGAGAAGGUGCUUGUGAGGCUGGCAAGGCAUCCAGUGCUCUGACACACUAGGAAAGACCCAGUUUAGUCCUGGCAAGAGUCCACCUUUUAAGCCAAGGACCAGCCUGUCUUUUGCCAGCACCUUUUUCUGCAAAGCCCCAGGCAGCUGGUGGGAGAGUACAAAGCGGCCUGGAAAAUCCAUAAACUGCAUAAUCAGCCCCUGCAUCUUGGCCGCUUGACUCUGUUUAUUGCUUCCUGUCCCCGAAAGCCCUUUACAAACAGAGCGGCUUUGAGGGGGGUGAGCUGGACCUGGUGGGUGGCCUGCCCCUGCCAGCGGGGGCCCUAAACAAGCCCAUUCCCGUGUACUGCGCCCCCCGGAGGAUGAGAGCUAGGGGACUGUCUGAGGGUGUGAGAAGACACCCCCCAAAGGAGGGCGAGCCCCCAGAGAGCUGUUUACUUUGUAAUUGACAAAGGACAAGGAUCCCAUUUCUACCAAUUUCCUUGAAGGCCUGGAGGUGAAGCUUUAAUGAGGUGCAGGAGGGGAGCAGGUGAAAACCUUAGCCUCUGACUGACCCCUGCUAGGUGGCGGUGGGGGGAGCAGGGGCCCAUUCCCAGGGAUCUAGGGACAGCCCUGGUUCCAAGGGCUUAGGCGACUUGCUCAAAACCUGUUCUAUUCUUGUUGUAUUACUUUUUUUGAAACAGGUUUUCCCCUGCUGACUGACUUCUUCCUUCCCUCCCUUUCCUCCCCCAACUUCAUCCUCCCUCCCCCAGGAUUAACUAAUUCACUUUACAUCCCUUCCCACCACUGCCUGUGGCCAGGAUGUGACUCUCUCAGGGGAGAGCUGCCGCCCUGAAAAAGUUGGUCUAGACACUGCUGGGGUGCCUGUGAGGGCUGUUUGCUGUACUUCCCUUGCCUCUGGGUGACGUGGUGACACCUGCUUGGUGGGAGGCGGGAUGGUAGGCAGGCUUCCCAGAGCUGGGGCAGCCCCUCCCAGCCAGAUGUGUUAGAGCCAUCCCUCUGGAAGACCUGGGGCUCCCACCCCCCGAGGGGGUGGUUGGAGGCCUGAGUUCCCACCCCCCUCUGCUGCCUUGUUAUUUCCUUCCUUUACUUGGCUUCCCUGGAUGGUUGACUACAACGCCCUGAUUUAAAAAGCAGUGAAGGGGAGCCUGGGUGGCUCAGUCGGUUAAGCAUCUGACCCUUGAUCUCAGUUCGGGUCAUGAUCUCAUGGUUUCAUGAGAUUGAGCCCUGCAUUGGGCUCUGCGCUGACAGUGCGGAGGCUGCUUGGGAUUCUCUCUAUCUCUCCCUCUCUCUCUCUUCCCUUGCCCCGCUCGCUCGCAUGACACAGUCUCUCAAAAUAAAUAAAUAAACGUACAAGAAAAAAAAAAAAAAAAAAAAACCGUGGAGAUGGCUUGGCCUGCCUCCUCUGUGUGGACCCGCCGUGGGUUUGCUUGUGCUUUUCCUCCAGGGGCUUGUCUAUACAGACUUCCACGUGGGACCUGUGUGUGUCUGAGCCUGCUUUUUUCGUUGUGCAAUUCCGAGCCAGCCCCACCCUUACAGCUCCUUCCUGAAAGUGAAAUGUUACAGUCCUUGCUCAAGAACAAAAGCCCCAAGUUCAGCCCUGCAUGUUAAUGAUUUUCAAGUGUGGCCACUUCCUCCUGUGGGGCGUGCAGCGGAUUGUUGAGGACAGCCCAGACCCUGACCGGGAGGUCGCGCAGCGGGUGGGAGAGGGAGCCUGGCGCUGUCCCCUCCGGGCCUGGGGCUGCCGUAGCAGAGGAGGCAUGUGGCGGGACUGGCUCAGCUCUCAGCUCGGCUGCACCCGCUUCGUUUCUAUUUCGCUGCUCUGGGGCCUACUCCACGCAGGGCUUCUGCUCCUGCUCCGGGAUACCUGGAGGAGGGUAGGGAACCGUUGCCAGGCUGACCGGAGCCUCAGUUUCCCUGUUUGCCCCAUGCAGAGGUCAGAGGUCCUCUGUGCAAUACAGUGAGAGUGCGCUAAGUGGUCGGGAGUGUGGGCUUUGGGGAAGAAUCCUGACUCACCACUUCCUGGCUAUGAGACCUCAGGCGAGUUAAUUCCUCUGUACCUCAGUUUCCUCAUCUACAAAAUAACCUACUUCCUGCCUUGGAGGAUUGUUUCGAGGAUUCUGUGUAGGUGAAGUGCCUCACACAGUGGCAGGGUGAGGCCCUACUGGAAUGUCCAUGCCCAGCCUAGAGCCCGGCUGGAUGGAAAGGGCUGUGGACUCUUUCUCCAGCAUUAUAAACUGUGAAGUGCACAGCACAUGUAAAGCACGGUCAUUUGGGGCAGUCAGCACGCUCAGAGUGAGAGAAUGAUCUAUUUCGGUACCUUUAAAUGAGUAGAAUCAGCAGACCCUAGCAGUGAUUCCCAGAUGUUUCCCACUGUAGAAGUUGGGUUUUCAUUCUUGCCUUUUUUUUUUUUUUUUAAAUUUGAGAGAGAGAGAGAGAGAGAGAAAGCACAAGGAGGGGAGAGGGCCAGAGGGACAGAGAGAGAAGAUCCCAAGCAGGCUCCACGCUGUCAGCACAGAGCCCAAUGUGGGGCGCGAACCCACGACCCCGAGAUCAUGACCUGAGCUGAAAUCAAGUCGGGCACGCAACCGACUGAGCCACCCAGGUGCGCCUCAUUCUUGCCUUUCUUGUUUGUCCUUCCCCUUGGUUAAUUUUGUGAGAACACAUACAGGUUCACCAUAUGCAAAGGUGGCACAAAGCUGAAUUCACCCUGUGUCUGUGGGCUGUGGGCCUGAUAAUCCCCACAACUCCACUGUUAAGGAUGCAUAGACCUUGAAGGACGAAUCAAUCAUAUGUUUGCUGCUAGUAAGCAGUGCUUGAGCACUAGAUGGAUACACUGUAUUUUAACUGGUGAUUAUCAAGGAAUUCCGGGGACUGAGGAAUGCCCAGCUGCUUUUCAAAGGUCCCAGCAAUCGUUGGGUGCUUCCCAGGCUGUUGCCUCACACCCCUUAGGUCUGGAUACCUUGCGGCCCACUUCCCAUGGCUGGGGCCGUUCUGGCCAUACCCUCUAUCUGACCCAGCCACCAUUCUGUGGUGGGAGGAAGGCGUGCAGGGUCCGCACAUCCCAGGCCGGGUGCUUCCUUUGAGAAACAGAGCGGGUGCGAGUUUGGGCUUGUGGGGUGACUUGGCAGGGCCUUUGUUUGCUGACUGUUGACUAAGCCCAGGUGUGCAGACCCAGUGUUUACAGAGUCCUGGUUGGUUCAGGCUGGAAUGAAGAAAGUCGAUACUCAGGGGAGGGGGAAGUGUUAUGGAUAAUCCGAAAGCCAUUUGUUUAGGGCCUGGAGCCAGAGAUAAGGUAUUUUUGCAGAUCUCCCUAAAUCAAUCUGACUGGAACUCUUUUUAAUGUGUGCCUACAGUGUACGUUGGAGGCUACAGGGAAUGAACAGUCCAUAAAAUUCAGUUCAUACACCUGUGGACCAUCUGGGGACUUAGGGCGGACACAGAGGAUGUCAGAGGAGAGAGAGGUCUGGAGAUCAUUUAAUCCUCCCUGCCCAUUUUUCUGGGAAAAUGGAGGGAAGCUGGAGGCCCAGGAGGUAAAAUGACUUGCCUAAGGUCACUUAGCUGGUUAUUGAUGGAGCUAAAACUAGAAUCAAAGGUUUCAUACUGCAUCAGGAGGUAGUGGUCCUCGCGCUUUACUGGGCACCAGAAUCCUCGGGAGAGCUUGUUAAAAUGCAGAUUCCAAGACCAUGCCCCUAGAGAUUCUGAUUUUAGUAGUGGGGUGGGGAAUAUGUGUUCUUAGCAAACACCUUGGGGGAGUCUGAUGCAGUCUCACCACCCUCUGGGGACACACUUUUUUUUUUUAAUGUUUAUUUUUGAGAGAAAGAGAGAGAGCACGAGCAGAGUGGGGGAGGGCAGAGAGAGAGGGAGACACAGAAUCUGAAGCAGAUUCCAGGCUCUGAGUGGUCAGCACAGAGCCUGACGUAGGGCUCGAACCCACGAACUGUGAGAUCAUGACCCAAGCCAAAGUCAGAUGCUUAACCGACUGAGCCACCCAGGUGCCCCAGGGAUAUGCUGCUUUAAUGCAAGGAGUAAUUGCUUCUGAGACUGAAUAGGGAGGCACGAUUAUGCUUCCCAAAGAGUGGGUGGUAAGCAGUAGGGCAAACAGGCAGAGAUGCAAACAGCUCAGGAGAUGAGAGCAUGGGGGUUACUCUCCCAGGCUUUAAAACUCUCGCAGGUAACUAGGGUGUCAGGAGACUUGGCGGGCACACUGGCCUUUGCCACGUAAGGCCAUGCAGGUUGGAGGUGGCACAGCCCUGGACAACCUCUAGGUCACACAUGACUCCGGAAAGUGGCUCUGAUAAUGGUAGAGGGCGAUGAUUUACAGUUCUGGAUGAUCAUGAGGAUUAACUGACCCCAUGCACGGGCAACAUUGCCUGCACUCAGUAAAUGGCAGGUUCUCUGAUGAUGCAUAACUGAUGGGGGUGGGGGCAAGGGUGGGUUUCUGCUUAGUGUCAUUAUGGAAUGGACUUCUGCUGAGGAUUUCGUACGAGGAAAGGGGUCUGGUUCUGUAUCUAAGAAAGGGUGCCAGUCCUUCCAGCCCUAGGGUACUGGGAUCCAGCCACCUCCUUCUGCAGAGACACCGUCAUGGUUUGUAACUAGUACAGUGGUGCCUUUCUCUGGCCCCAGUUCACCCCUACCCCACCCCUGUCCUUGCAUCCCUGGGAUAUUUCAGUGAUGGGAAAGGUCAACUGAAUAGGGACUGUUUCUGUCUCUAGCGGUGGAGACUGAGACCCCUACAGGCAAAGAAGGCUGGUUAUGGGACACCCAAGAGUGCUCUGCUCUGGCCCUUGCUCUGACUUUCAGAUCUGAGGGCCAGGGCUCCCAGCCCCAGCUGGCCUGAGGCCCUUCCCUGCACUCCAUUCCAGGAGCUGGUCUUACAAGCAAGUGGGAAGGCAGUGCCUUGGCCAGGGUGCAUCGCUUCCUGGUUCUGGCCAGUUCUGCUGCAGGUCAGGUCGGCCUGACCUCACCUUUGCUGCACCAGACGCUGUAAAAAAAAAAAAAUCUGGGCACAGAUGGGGACGAGAGAAAGGGCCUGAGGGCUCCCGUGGUCCUGCCGUCAGCCUAGUGAAGGGAGCGGCUCGCAUGGUGGGCUGCAAGACGGAUGGAGGGUGGUGUUAGUGCAGUUAGUGUGUGGGGAGGAGAGUGUGGCUGUAAUUUUAAAAACACAGCUUCAGAGUAAGGUGAAGGGAGGAACGGAUUGAGUACCUAGGCUGGCUGGGAGUGUUCGGGAAAGAUCUAAUGAGGGUUGUCUGUGUCCCGUGGCUGUAUGAGUGAACGGGUUUGGGUGAGCCGGUGUGCGUAGCACACGCAGACGUAUGGGCUGUUUUGUAAUUACUAGCGUGUGCACCACCGGGGGAGAGAGCACUGGCCCAGGAGUCUGGGUUCAGAUCGCAGGCUCUGUGACCUUUGGCAACGGGCACCAUCUGGAAGUGACAACAUUGAGAUUUCUUUCUGCCUUCCCAACCUGGCCUCUCUAGAGGGCAUGUGUGGGCACAUGGCUGUCUGGAGGCGAGGCCGUGUGGGCGAGUAAAGGCCUCAGGUGGGGAGGGGAUGCCCGACAGCUGGCUACUGGGUGCCCCAGGCUGUGGAAGGGGAGCUCUGCUCUGCACAGAUGAAGAAGGGGCCGAGGCGAGGAGAGGGGAGCAGCCUGCGGUCGGGAAAGUAGCUGGCCUGCUAAGUGGCUCUAAACAAUCCCAUCUGCUGUCUGGGCUGGCCCUUCUUGCUGGGGUGGAAUUUCUGAUGAUGUCUUGGCUGCCAGAGGGGGAGGGCCACGGCCCUCCCAGCCACAGCUGCUGCCUGUUCUUUUGAAGCUCAGGGCCAACCACCCCCUCCCCAAGCCUCUGCGCCCCGGCCCUGAGCCUGCAUUCCUCAGCUGCCAGAGGCGGCACUUCUGAGAAGGCCACUCAGCCUGUAUGCCUGUGCUCCUGCUGCCCCGGGUAGGGAGCCCCUACCGGAGAGCCGGCCCCCAGGAGGAGUGGGAGGGCCUGGGCGACCCAGGCCCUGGUAUAUUCCAGUCACUUCUCCCCCUAGGAAACCCAGCAGAGUACGGACAGGCGUGGGGCUGUUGGCCCAGCUCCCCACUCCACUCAGGGGCCACAGAGCCCCUCAGCCCGAGGUCCUGAAGGCCCCUGAGGGGAGGCCUUUGUGCCGUACGCUGUCCCUUCGGGGCUGGAUUGAAGAUCCUAACUCCGGGCUUGACUCCUGGGCCAGGCUCUAGACUCAGCCCCUGAGAACUGUGUGGCCUUAGAGCCUUACUAACAGCCGCCCCGGGCUGAGAGCAUCUGUGUGGAGCCUGUGUGUGCCCAUGGCAUGAAUCCCCCUCAGAGGGGAACCCAUCCUCGGAGGAACAGGCGUCCUGUUCUACAGGUGAGGAAACUCACUCAGGAAGUCCACUCACCCAAGCAGCGGUGAUCAGAAUGUAAGCUGAGGUUGGCUUGGAGCUAAAUCUCCCCUUUUAACCUCCGUGCUCUACAGUCUUUUACCCCCGACUCCGCGCCAUUCAAAAACCAGCUUGUGGGGACGCCUGGGUGGCUCAGUCAGUUAAACGUCCGACUCUUGAUUUUGGCUCAGGUCACGGUCUCACAGUUCGUGAGAUCGAGCCCCGUGUCGGGCUCAGCACCCGACAUUCUCUCUCAAAAUAAAUAAAUAAACUUAAAAAAAAAAAAAUCUAAGUUAACUUAAAAAAAAAAAAAGAAGAAAGAAAGAAAGAAACAGCAACCUGCGGUUUCCCCUCUGCAAGGAGCUUCCUGGCCAGACCUGACCCUGCCCUGCCCCAGUGGAUCCCCCACGCCGUGGUCUAACCUCUGAAAUAGCUGUGGCCUGGGCCUCCACCUUGCUCCUGGGCCUUCAUUCUGCCCUGUGAGGCCACCAGGAGGCGCGCGGGUCCCUGAGCACGAAGGGGCGCAGUGGGAGGAGUGGCGCCCGGUUCCCACUGAGGCACAACUACAGGAGACCUGCUGAAAUAGUAGAGGCGGGAAGGAUGGAACUGGAUUCUAAGGAUUACAAAAGUUCUAGAGUCCUGGAAGCUCUGGGGUUUGCUUUCUUCAUACGCUUUUCUUCUGUCACCACUCAGUUUUUGUUUUGCUUUGUUUUGUUUUUUUAACGUUUAUUCAUUUUUGAGAAAGAGAGACACAGACAGAGCAUGAGCAGGGGAGGGGCAGAGAGAGGGGGAGACACAGAAUCUGAAGCAGUCUCCAGGCUCCGAGCUGACAGCACAGAGCCCGACACGGGGCCUGAACUCGUGGACCGUGAGAUCAUGACCCGAGCCUAAGACGGACACCCAGCCGGCUGAGCCACCCAGGUGCCCCUGUUUUGUUUUGAUUAGAGAGACAGUAUAAGGUGGAGGUUAAGAAGAGCAUGGACUCUGGGGCCAGACAGUUUGGACUCGGAUUUUGGCUCCAUCACUGACUGUGUGACCCCACGUAAGUUAUUUGAACUCUCUGGGCCUUAGUUUCCUUAUCUGUAAAGUGGGUAUAAUAAUUGCUUUACUUUGAGGCUUGGAUGAGAUAAUGCAUGCCAAGUGCUUAGAAAGUAGAUGGCACACAGUUAACAUUCAGACAUUUGCUAUAAUUAUUAUUAAAAAGUAAUUCACGUCCAUUGUAAAUAAUAUACAUAUGCAAAAGGAAAAUUAAAAAAAUCACUGUAAUGCUGUCACUUUGCUAUUCUUUAUAGGUUAUUAUUUUAUUUUUAUGUUUUUAUUUUUUAGAGAGAGAGAAAGACAAGCAGGGGAGAAAGAGAGAGAGAGAGAGAGAGAGAGAGAGAGAGAAUCCCAAGCAGGCUCCACACUCUGCAUGGAGCCCAACGCGGGGCUCGAUCCCACAACCUUGUGAUCACGACCUGAGCUGAAAUCAAGAGUCAGACGCUCAACCGACUGAGCCA